GAUGAACGCUGGCGGCGUGCUUAACACAUGCAAGUCGAGGGGCAUCGGGGCGAGGAGCAAUCCUUGCCGCCGGCGACCGGCGCACGGGUGAGUAACGCGUAUGCGACCUGCCCGUUGCAGGGGGAUAAUCGGGAGAAAUCCCGUCUAAUACCGCGUAACGCCGCGGGGCUGCAUGGCCCUGCGGCCAAAGGAAGCGAUUCCGGCAACGGAUGGGCAUGCGUGACAUUAGCUAGUUGGCGGGGCAACGGCCCACCAAGGCGACGAUGUCUAGGGGUUCUGAGAGGAAGGUCCCCCACACUGGUACUGAGACACGGACCAG
rnacentral:rRNA from 1 species